AGUGAACGCUGGCGGUAGGCCUAACACAUGCAAGUCGAACGGCAGCACAGUAAGAGCUUGCUCUUACGGGUGGCGAGUGGCGGACGGGUGAGGAAUACAUCGGAAUCUACUUUUUCGUGGGGGAUAACGUAGGGAAACUUACGCUAAUACCGCAUACGACCUACGGGUGAAAGCAGGGGAUCUUCGGACCUUGCGCGAUUGAAUGAGCCGAUGUCGGAUUAGCUAGUUGGCGGGGUAAAGGCCCACCAAGGCGACGAUCCGUAGCUGGUCUGAGAGGAUGAUAAGCCACAUUGGAACUGAGACACGGUCCAGACUCCUACGGGAGGCAGCAGUGGGGAAUAUUGGACAAUGGGCGCAAGCCUGAUCCAGCCAUACCGCGUGGGUGAAGAAGGCCUUCGGGUUGUAAAGCCCUUUUGUUGGGAAAGAAAAGCAGCAGGUUAAUACCCCGCUGUUCUGACGGUACCCAAAGAAUAAGCACCGGCUAGCUUCGUG
rnacentral:rRNA from 1 species